rnacentral:lncRNA from 1 species
AGAAAAACAUAGCUCUAAAUGGUGACUAUGGGAAAGAGUUGGAUGAACGAUGCAGGAGAGUCUCUGAAGCUCCUUCUCUCCCUGUUGUCUUCAUUGAUGGCCAUUAUCUUGGGAGAGUCCAGCAUCCACACGAGUGUCCCUCCUGUGGAGGCUUCGGCUUCCUUCCAUGCUCUGUGUGCCACGGGAGCAAGAUGUCAGUGUUUCGCAAUUGCUUUACGGACGCUUUCAAAGCCCUGAAGUGUACAGCUUGCAACGAGAAUGGUCUUCAGCGCUGUAAGAACUGCGCCUGCUAACUGGAUCUUCUGCCUAGAGAAAGCCUCAUUUCCUUAAACAAAGGAUAACAUUUGGCUUCUGCCUUUUUUAAAAAAAAGAAUGUCAUGUUUUUAGAUUAAACAAUAAAGUUUGUAUAUUAU